CAGCAUGGCUUAGGGAACAGGGGCGAUAGACUGAGGGGACAGAAAAGCAUUGGCUCAGGGGCAACAGGGACGGCAACUGUAAAGUCAGUUUGGGCGAUGGAGGAUGCUGCAGGACUGGUGUGGCUGCCUUCUGGAGGCUGCCUGCAUUCCUUGGCUUGUGGUCCUCUUCCAUCUUUGAAGUCAGUGGUGGCUGGUCAAAUCUCUCUCCCAUGGCACCACUCUGCCACUGCCUCCCUCUUCCACCUUUCAAGGACCCUGUGAUUACACUGGGCCCAUCUGUAUACUCCGGGAUCGUCUCUCUAUUUUAAGAAGCAGCUCCUUCAUUCCGCAAGGCUGAGAGGGGAAUUCAAGUCUGGAAGAGGAAACAGCCUAAAAGUGGACAUCAGACAUCCCUGUUCCCAUCGCUGCAUCCCAACCGACACAGUGCGUUACAGGAGACGUCUUAGAGACCUGUCGCCCCACCAGAUUUUGAGGACCUGUCCUACUGGACAGACAGCCUUCUCUAAUUUCUUCUCUUUUAGAACUAUGGGCUUCCCCAAAUUCCUGACCCUGGUGUAAAACAAAAAUCAUUUUACUUCUGUUCUAAUGCAGUGAUUUAAAACUUUUUUUUUUUUUGGCCUUAAGCUGUCCUUUACAAACCAUAUCCCAGGCUUUACUAGGUCUGACAAUAAAGUUUGGGAGCUUGUUGCAACGAUGUUGCGAACCUUUUUUGAUAUCAGAGGGAUUAUUCAUUAUG